GUUUGUUGAGGAAGAUGACGAGGAAGAUGACGUGGAAGAAGAGGUUGAAGAGGAAGACGAGGGAGAACUGAACGCGGCGCCGGUUCAGGGGGGAGAUCUGGGCCAUGUUGUUAUCGACAUAGAAGAGGAUGACAUGGCUGCGCCGGUUCAGGUUCCGGGAGUUUUGGAGAUAGAGGAGUUUGAGGAGGAGUUUGAGGAGUAAUCGCUGCUGUUGUCUAGAGAUAUUUACGAUGAGAUGGCUUUACCAAAUGGGGUUCUGACACUUGAACCAAAAGGAGGUCAAUGCUAUCACAACGUGUAUGUAUGUGCCGCUUGAACAUCUAAGUGUGUGUUUCUGGUCUAGAAUCUGAUGUUGGUUUUGGAUCAUCGAAGAAAUUCUUCUCAGCGUCUGUUCCUGGUUCCCGAAUUGUGUCUCGGGUAACUUCACCAAUAUCAAGACGCCUAAGCCCACCAGCUCGCUCAACAACGCCAACUCCCACUCUUUCAGGAUUAACUACACCCAAAAUUGUCGUGGAUGAUACCAAGAGAACCAAUGAUAACAUAAGCCAGGAGGUGGUUAUGCUAAGAUCUCAAGUUGAAAAUCUUACACGGAAACAGCGAGAGAUGCAAGGCAGCGAAAGAUGUGAUAAAAUCACUUACAGCUCAGUUGAAAGACAUGGCUGAAAGAUUACAUGUUGGAUCAUCUCGGACUAUCAAGCCUCCUUCUCUUAAUUCGGUUGGUUCCUGUCCUGAACACAUUGUCCCUUCUUCUAACACAUUUAACCGUCCAAACAGCCGAGAAACUGAUACUGACGGCCCAAGCACCGUCCCAAUGUUUUGUAACGAGACCAGCACGCCUGUCUUUGAUGAUGCGAGUUACCGACAGCAAGCGAAUCAUGCUGCUGAAUCGAUAAAUAGAACCAGCACUCGAGCAAAAGAAAGUGAUCCCCCCGUAAUGAAAAUGAGUGGGUUGAACAAGAUGAGCCCGGUGUGUACAUCACUCUCACAGCCUUACCGGGAGGGGCAAGGGAUCUCAAACGCGUCCGUUUCAGCAGCCGAAAGCGGUUUAGUGAGAAGCAAGCAGAAGAGUGGUGGGCAGAGAACAGAGGACGAGUUUACGAACAAUACAAUGUACGGAUAGUCGUUGACAAAUCAAGCGUGGGUGUAGGAAGUGAAGACUUGGCUCAUUAAAUUCUUUGCUUUAUCCCGGGUUUUCAUAGGUUUAUUGGGGCUUAUAACAAAACACAAGAGAGAGCCAGAGAGAUUAGGAGUGUUUUUACAUCUUCAUUCAUUAUAGUUUGGGUGUUCUUCUCUUGUAAAUUCUUCUGUAAAUUCUCUAAACAUCCGCUGUCUGUCUCUAUAAAUGCUAUUAAUUGAUGUUGAAGUUGAAGCAGUACUAAUGGGUUGGAGCAGAUUGUGAAGCAAACAAGGAGGGUGUGUAUAAGAGAAAACAACACAUUAUGUAGUGAUUGGAAUUACA